UGGGGAAUAUUGCACAAUGGGGGAAACCCUGAUGCAGCGACGCCGCGUGAACGAAGAAGGUAUUCGUAUCGUAAAGUUCUGUCCUAUGGGAAGAUAAUGACAGUACCAUAGAAGAAAGCUCCGGCUAAAUACGUGCCAGCAGCCGCGGUAAUACGUAUGGAGCGAGCGUUGUCCGGAAUUAUUGGGCGUAAAGGGUACGCAGGCGGUUUAAUAAGUCGAAUGUUAAAGAUCGGGGCUCAACCCCGUAAAGCAUUGGAAACUGAUAAACUUGAGUAGUGGAGAGGAAAGUGGAAUUCCUAGUGUAGUGGUGAAAUACGUAGAUAUUAGGAGGAAUACCAGUAGCGAAGGCGUCUUUCUGGACACAAACUGACGCUGAGGUACGAAAGCGUGGGGAGCAAACAGG
rnacentral:rRNA from 1 species